GACAACGUGGCCGAGUGGUUAAGGCGGUAGAUUCGAAAUCUACUGGAGUUUCUCCGCGUAGGUUCGAGUCCUGCCGUUGUCG